UAGGGAAUCUUCGGCAAUGGACGAAAGUCUGACCGAGCAACGCCGCGUGAGUGAAGAAGGUUUUCGGAUCGUAAAACUCUGUUGGUAGAGAAGAACGUUGGUGAGAGUGGAAAGCUCAUCAAGUGACGGUAGCUACCCAGACAGGGACGGCUAACUACGUGCCAG
rnacentral:rRNA from 1 species